UACGGAGGGUGCAAGCGUUGUCCGGAAUUAUUGGGCGUAAAGCGCGCGCAGGCGGUCCUUUAAGUCUGAUGUGAAAGCCCACGGCUCAACCGUGGAGGGUCAUUGGAAACUGGGGGACUUGAGUGCAGAAGAGGAAAGUGGAAUUCCAAGUGUAGAGGUGAAAUGCGUAGAGAUUUGGAGGAACACCAGUGGCGAAGGCGACUUUCUGGUCUGUAACUGACGCUGAGGCGCGAAAGCGUGGGGAGCAAACAGG
rnacentral:rRNA from 1 species